UACGCCUCGCCCGGGCUGUGCGGCAGGCAUUGAGGCAGCCAGCGCAGGGGCAGGAGGCAGGCGCAGCUUGAGGAAACCGCAGAUAAGUUUUUCUCUUUAAAAUAAGAUAGACGUUAAUACAACUGCUUAAAUAUAAAUAGCCGGUAGCUUACUAAGAUAAUUGCUCAGCAUUAAGUUCUUAAUUUAAUGUUAAUAGUUUAAAAAGAUUUUUUGAUCGUCUGCGCGCGUAAGAGAAAAAAGUUAAAAAGAUGAGAAGAGAAAAUAGGAAGAUUUAAAAGAGUAGCAUGAGGAAGGAAGAGAAGAAGAAAAGGUUUCUGAAGCAUGACGGAGGUUGAGGUGAAGCUGCUUCAUGGAGCAGAAUAUGUAUUUAAAAGAAAGUUGAGAAGGAGGACUAGAGUCCUGAAUUAAUACGUUUAAUUAGAAGGGCAGUGCUUUUAGAUUAUUAAAAUGAAGGUUACUUAGACGUUAAACGUUAAUUUAAAAAAUCAUAGGUGACUAAAAUAGUUUGAAGGCGAUCAUAUAAAAAGAGAUUAAACCAAAGAUGAUUAAAAGACCUUGAAAUCCAUGACGCAUGAAGAAUUGCGUCAUUUAAAGCCUAAGUUAAUUUUAACGCGUUUACUAAGCGCAGACGAAGAUAGGAAAGAUUUAUUUAAUUGGGAGUGGUAGGAAGAAAACAAUGUGGAGAAGAAGUUUGAAGUGGAAAAUUGGAAGACAGAAGUACAGAAAGGCGAAGAAAAGAAUAGAGAAGAUAGGGAUAUUAGAAGAUAAAAACACCUUUUAGAAGACAAAAAAAAUCUGAGAAGUAGGAAGCAGAAGAAAAAAAUUAGACAAGCUAGAAAACAAGAAAAAAAGCUAGAAAACAAGCAACUAAGGGCAAAAUGUGCAAACUUAGAAGAAAACGAAGAUAGAAACAAGCUAGAAAAUAUUGUCAAGAGUUUCAGAUAGAAAAUGAGAAGUUAAGAAGGACAAGCAUAGAAGAUAGAAAAAUUGGAUAAAAUAGCACUGAAAAAAUGAAAUUAUUGAUAACCAAUUUAUUUUAAAAGCCCAUCAAUUUAAUUUCUGAUGGUGCAGAAGUUAGAAGGUAAAGCUUCAGAAGAUGAGGGUCUUUACGUUAUGUAGACCAGAAGCACUUUAGAAGAAUAUUUGAAGCUAGAAGGGAAGUCGGUUAAAAUUCUCAACAAACAGCUGCUGAAAGGAAUGGAGUAAUUUAAAAAAAUUAAGGCAGAAGGCUUUUGGAAGAGUUAGAAGAAUUUGGAAGGCCUUAAAGUACGGUAGCUUAGUUUGAAAAUUUAAAGGACUUUUGUAACGGAAGUAAUUCAAGAUCAAGAGUAAUUACCAAGUUAAUGUUUUUGCAUUGGACUUUGAGCUAACAUGAUUUUUAAAAUCUUGAGGACUAGCGUUAAUUGACAGCUGACCCAGGUGCUACAGAGAAGUGGAUUCAGUGAAUCUAGGAAGACAGCAGCAGACAGAAUUCCAGGAGCCAGUGUUUGGUGAAGCUAGGACUGAGGAGCAAGCAGCAGUUCGUGGUGAAGAUAGGAAAAGAGUCCAGGAACCAGUGCGAUUUGGUGAAGGAAGCUAGGAAGAAGGAAGGAGCGCUAACGAUUUGGUGGUGAAACUAGGAAAGAGGAUUCCAGGAAGGAGCGAGUGCAAUUGGUGAUGAAGCUAGCAGGCGGCUUGGCUUGGCAACCACACGGAGGAGGCGAGCAGGCGUUGUGCAUAGAUAGAGGAUCCUAGACCAGCAUGCCAGUAUGCCAAAGCUACAGGGAAAGCGAUUGGUUGGUAAAAAUCCGUGAGGUCGGCAAUAUGUUGUUUGUCUGGAACUUGAGUAUGGUAAUCUUUUAUUUACUUUCCUAAUGUAAUGGGGGAGCUUCGUACUGAGGUGUGAAGGGAUUUAUAUGGGGAUGUAGGCCGAUUUCCGGGUGUUGUAGGUUUCUCUUUUUCAGGCUUAUGCUCAUGAAUCUUGUCUGAAGCUUUUGAGGGCAGACUGCCAAGUCCUGGAGGAAUAGUAGAUGGCAAGUUUGUUUUUGUUUUGUUUUUCACCAAUUUGAGGAAAACCAAAUGAAUUUGAUAGAGCUAAAAUUGAGACAAUUUCAGCAAAUCUGUAAGCAGUUUGUGUAUGCUUAGUUGGGGUAAUGCAGUGUUUCAGUUUUGUGAAUAGAUGACUUGUUUUUGCUUUCUCACCCUGAGUCAGUUUUCUAAAUGUGGAGUUUGAAUGUGUAACUGAUGGGGGGAAUUUUGAUUGCUUUUUUUGUGGGGGUGGGGGCAAAAUAUGUUUUGAGUUCUUUUCCCCUUAGGUCUGUCUAGAAUCCUAGAUGCAAAUGACUCAAGGUGUAACAGAAAACAAGAAAAUCCAGUAUAAGGAUAAUCAGAACACCACAGGUUUACAGUUUAUAGAAACUAGAGCAGUUCUCACUUUAAGGUCUGUGGAGGAGCUGUCCAUUGAAGAAAUGGCUGGUAGUUACUCUUUUUUUCCCCCUCUCCCCUUAAUCAGACUUUUAAAGUGCUUAACCCCUUAAACUUGUUAUUUUUACUUGAAGUGUUUUGGGAUGGUCUUAACAGGGAAGAGAGAGGGUGGGGGAGAAAAUGUUUUUUUCUAAGAUUUUCCACAGAUGCUAUAGUACUGUUGACAAACUGGGUUAGAGAAGGAGUGUACGGCUGUGCUGUUGGCACGAACACCUUCAGGGACUGGAGCUGCUUUUAUCCCUGGAAGAGUAUUCCCAGUUGAAGCUGAAAAGCACAGCACAGUGCAGCUUUGGUUCAUAUUCAGUCAUCUCAGGAGAACUUCAGAAGAGCUUGAGUAGGCCAAAUGUUGAAGUUAAGUUUUCAAAUAAUGUGACUUCUUAAAGUUUUAUUAAAGGGGAGGGGCAAAUAUUGGCAAUUAGUUGGCAGUGGCCUGUUAUGGUUGGGAUGGGGGGGGAGGGUUUAGGUAAUUGUUUAGUUUAUGAUUGCAGAUAAAGUCAUGCCAGAGAACUUAAAAGUCUUAGGAUGGAAAAGGUAAAGAAAUCUCAACUUCCAAGUUGGCAAGUAACUCCCAUUCCUUUAGUUUUUGUUUCCCCCAAUUUUUUAAUUGGGAAGCUGGGAGAAGUUAAAUAAGAGCCACUGGGUGUACCAGUGCAUUAAUUUGGGCAAGGAGAGUAUCAUAAUUUGAUACUGUGUCUGUUUUCCCUCAAAGUAUAGAGCUUGGGGAAGGAAAGUAUUGGACUGGGGGUUGGUCUGGCCCACUGGGCUGACAGUAACUAUUACGGGAAAUGCAAAAGUUGUUUGGAUAUGGUAGUGUGUGGUUUUCUUUUGGAAUUUUUUUCAGGUGAUUUAAUGUAACUUAAAACUACUAUAGAAACUUCAGAGCAAAGGAAGUGGCUUAAUGAUCCUGAAGGGAUUUCUUCUGAUGGUAGCUUUUGUAUUAUCAAACUUUUUUCAGAUAACGUCUUCUGAGUCAUAACCAGCCUGUGGCAGUAUGAUGGCCUAGAUGCAGAGAGAACAGCUCCUUGGUGAAUGAUAAGUAAAGGCAGAAAAGAUUAUAUGUCAUACCUCCAUUGGGGAAUAAGCGUAACCCUGAGAUUCUUUACUACUGAUGAAAACAUUAUCUGCAUAUGCCAAAAAAAAAAAAAAAUUAAGCAAAUGAAAGCUACCAAUUUAAAGUUACGGAAUCUACCAUUUUAAAGUUAAUUGCUUGUCAAGCUAUAACUACAAAAAUAAUGAAUUGAUGAGAAAUACAAUGAAGAUCCAAUGUGCAUCUCAAAAUACUGCUUUUACAAAAGCAGAAUUUAAAACAAGUGAAAUGAAAUGAAAAUGGUUAUACUACAUUAAUCCUGGAAUAAAAGAAGCCGAAAUAAAAGAUGAGUUGGGAUCAAGUGGAUUGAGGAGGCUGUGCUGUGUGCCAAUCUUUCGUUUGCCUCAGACAGGUAUCUCUUCAUUAUCAGAAGAGUUGCUUCAUUUCAUCUGGGAGCAGAAAACAGCAGGCAGCUGUUAACAGAUAAGUUUAACUUGCAUCUGCAAUAUUGCAUGUUAGGGAUAAGUGCUUAUUUUUAAAGAACUGUGGAGUUCUUAAGUAUCAACCAUGGCAGUUUUUCCUGACCCCUUCCCUAGGGGAUUUCAGGAUUAUGAGAAAUUUUCCCAUCGAGCCUCUUUAAAAUUGUAGGAUUUGUUCCUGUGGGCUUCUGUGAUGGGAUAGUACACCUCACUCAGAGGCAUUUGCAUCUUUGAAUAAUUCCUUAAAAGCCUCUGAAGUGAUUAGUGCCUUAAUGCAAGACUAAGGAAAUUUGUUUAGCAUUGCAUCUCUGAAGACUGAAAGGAAUAGCAUGAUGUGCUGUUAGAAUCAGAUGUAAAUCUUGCUAAAAUUUACAUGUUGUGUUGUGAUGUAUAUUGUGCAGAAAACCAUUAAAUCAAUCAAAAUAAUAAACUAUUUUUAUUAGAGAAUGUAUACUUUUA